ACUAACAACGACGUACACUGCAAGCAUUAUACUGAAAAUAAUGAUAGUUCCUCAUACUCGACUGGUAACUGGUACUGGAGCUAAAUUUCAUAAGGCAUCUAACAAACACACACAUACAGGACUAAAGCUUCUACAACUCACGAAGGGGUAGGUGACUGGUAAAAUGCGAUAUAUGCCAGCAAAAGUAGUAAAC